UACAGAGGGGGCAAGCGUUGUUCGGAAUUACUGGGCGUAAAGGGCGCGUAGGCGGCCCGCUAAGUCGAACGUGAAAUCCCCGAGCUCAACUCGGGAACUGCGUCCGAUACUGGCGGGCUUGAAUCCGGGAGAGGGAUGCGGAAUUCCAGGUGUAGCGGUGAAAUGCGUAGAUAUCUGGAGGAACACCGGUGGCGAAGGCGGCAUCCUGGACCGGUAUUGACGCUGAGGAGCGAAAGCAUGGGGAGCGAACAGG
rnacentral:rRNA from 1 species